AUUGAACGCUGGCGGCAUGCCUUACACAUGCAAGUCGAACGGCAGCACGGGAGCAAUCCUGGUGGCGAGUGGCGAACGGGUGAGUAAUGUAUCGGAACGUACCUUUCAGUGGGGGAUAACGUAGCGAAAGUUACGCUAAUACCGCAUAUUCUGUGUGCAGGAAAGCAGGGGAUCGCGAGACCUUGCGCUGAUUGAGCGGCCGAUAUCAGAUUAGCUAGUUGGUGAGGUAAAGGCUCACCAAGGCGACGAUCUGUAGCGGGUCUGAGAGGAUGAUCCGCCACACUGGAACUGAGACACGGUCCAGACUCCUACGGGAGGCAGCAGUGGGGAAUUUUGGACAAUGGGGGCAACCCUGAUCUAGCCAUGCCGCGUGAGUGAAGAAGGCCUUCGGGUUGUAAAGCUCUUUCGGCCGGGAAGAAAUCGCAUGGGUUAAUACCCUGUGCGGAUGACGGUACCGGCAUAAGAAGCACCGGCUAACUACGUGCCAGCAGCCGCGGUAAUACGUAGGGUGCGAGCGUUAAUCGGAAUUACUGGGCGUAAAGCGUGCGCAGGCGGUUUUGUAAGACAGGCGUGAAAUCCCCGGGCUCAACCUGGGAACUGCGCUUGUGACUGCAAGGCUAGAGUAUGGCAGAGGGGGGUGGAAUUCCACGUGUAGCAGUGAAAUGCGUAGAGAUGUGGAGGAACACCAAUGGCGANNNNNAGCCCCCUNGGCCAAUACUGACGCUCAUGNNNNAAAGCGUGGGUAGCAAACAGGAUUAGAUACCCUGGUAGUCCACGCCCUAAACGAUGUCAACUAGGUGUUGGGUGGGUAAAACCAUUUAGUACCGGAGCUAACGCGUGAAGUUGANNNCCUGGGGAGUACGGCCGCAAGGUUAAAACUCAAAGGAAUUGACGGGGACCCGCACAAGCGGUGGAUGAUGUGGAUUAAUUCGAUGCAACGCGAAAAACCUUACCUACCCUUGACAUGUCCAGGAGCCUGAAGAGAUUUGGGUGUGCCCGAAAGGGAACUGGAACACAGGUGCUGCAUGGCUGUCGUCAGCUCGUGUCGUGAGAUGUUGGGUUAAGUCCCGCAACGAGCGCAACCCUUGUCGUUAAUUGCCAUCAUUCAGUUGGGCACUUUAACGAGACUGCCGGUGACAAACCGGAGGAAGGUGGGGAUGACGUCAAGUCCUCAUGGCCCUUAUGGGUAGGGCUUCACACGUCAUACAAUGGUCGGUACAAAGGGUCGCCAACCCGCGAGGGGGAGCCAAUCCCAGAAAGCCGAUCGUAGUCCGGAUCGCAGGCUGCAACUCGCCUGCGUGAAGUCGGAAUCGCUAGUAAUCGUGGAUCAGCAUGUCACGGUGAAUACGUUCCCGGGUCU
rnacentral:rRNA from 1 species